rnacentral:sRNA from 1 species
UUUGCGUUAGCGAUUGAAAUGGCAUCCUUUUUUUGCUGCCACAAAUGGCAAAAAAAGAUAUAAUGGAAAGCGCGACCCUUG